rnacentral:rRNA from 1 species
UACGUAGGCGGAAGAUUAAGUCAGUGGUGAAAUCCUGCAGCUUAACUGUAGAACUGUCAUUGAUACUGGUUUUCUUGAAUAUAGUUGAGGUAGGCGGAAUGUGUAAUGUAGCGGUGAAAUGCUUAGAUAUUACACAGAACACCGAUUGCGAAGGCAGCUUACUAAGCUAUGAUUGACGCUGAGGUACGAAAGCGUGGGGAGCGAACAGGAUUAGAUACCCUGUAGUCC